GCAUUUAGCAUUUAACAUUUACAUUUAGACUUUUGCACAUUUAACUAAAUGUGAGAAAACAUGUGUCAUUUAGUUAAAUGUGAGAAAACUAGUUAUAGGGGCUCCUUUUACAUUCGGCACCCCAUAGUCAGUUACGUGCUUUUAAUCAUUUCCUGACGUUUCUAUUUGACUUUAGUGCUGAUCAGACCUAUUUGGUGUGGAUAUGCUGAAGGUAAAUGUACAAGCUCAAUGUACAACAUCAUUGUUCACCUUCUAUAUCAAAUUACUCAAUGUAUUUUUCUGUCUGUGUUUUUCUUUGUAGCAUUAGUACAGUAUCCAUAGCCACUAAACCCGAUACUGGAUGUGAAUAUUUGAUGGAAUACUGCCUUACUGUUGCUGGAAAGCACUUUAAAAAUCCUUUAUUCUUUUAUUCCAGUGUUCUCCAAAGCUGCAGCUUCAAUUCACUCCAGCUUUUUUAUUAUUGGGGUGGUUUGUAAAAUAUGUCUGAUGAUUGUCCUGCUUCUUUGGUGUUGCUACAGAAUAUUUAAAGGUUCCUGCUUUAUCAGGUUGGUACAGUCUUCUUUCACUCUGAACAUAACAGAGCAUUAAACACACCCAUGUAUUACAUGUUGGGUUCCAGCAGGCCUCAGAGCACCAAUCAGAGCUCUGCUACAGGUCCAAUGACCACCCAGGAAGAAACUCUACACAGUACAUAUGCUUCGCUUCUUCAUGGUCAGUCUUUAACCUAAUUUCCUGUCAAUUAACAUUGUAUAUUAAAAGUUUCAAUCCAUCCUGGUUAAUGUAUCAUUUGUUUGUAGGCGAUUCUUCUGUUUAUGAAUCAAUCUGUCAUCCUGGAAACCCUGGAAAUGGUGCGGUUUGCACACUGAUCAGCUAGAAGGAUCUUUAUUGUUACAAUAAAUGAUUUAUUGACUAUUUGUGAAAGUCCA
rnacentral:lncRNA from 1 species